CUGGCAUGUCCUCCAGGAUGUUCCAGGUUAUCUUGGCAUGAUGGUGAGGCAAGUUCCCCAUCCAAGUGCUAGCAGGAGAAGGAAGCUUGGCGUCUUCAGCAGGGAUGAAGCACCUGAACAGAAGUUGCAUAUCGUGAUGAGAACAGGCAGGCGCGUCCUAGUUGCAGGAUCCACGAUGGGCUCGAUGGAAAUUACAAGCUUGGUCAGCAUGGUUACGGUGACUUACUGAACAGGAGGUACUUAUUCCGAAUAUUCCACUCGAAGUCCCAAUGCAUCCUGUCAUUUUUCAGUGUCCAAUAUGACCACCCAAAGGUGGCGUUCGCAUAAACAUCCAACUGAGCUCUGCCAAACUUCUGGUACUCAUACUGAGAUGCAUUUUGCACGUCCCAUUCAUUAACCCAUUCACCUGAACAAUACAGGGGCAUAGCACCGUGUUCAGUACAGAUAGAGAUACAGCUAAUGACUAUGGAAAUAAUCAAGUACACUUGGAAUAAAUAAACAGAAAAUUGGGACUUCAAGCACGCAUGUUCAAUGCAAAUGCUAUUCGUAAAUCGUAACAUCCCAAACUCCCGACUCCAACAAUAAAGAAAGGAACAAAUACCGAACAUUUGAGCAGCCUCUCUAAAAUUUGUAAAAUGGACACAGCAAGGCAGAAAUAACGUAAGAAGGUUGCUAAUCAUACCAAUGAAGAGAAGAGGCCCAUUUGUGUCCCUAAGAGCUUGCAAUUGUGGUGCUCUAUUCUUGUAAAUAAAUUCAAUAUUCUGAGUGGAGUUCAUGCUGGCAAAGUACGGAUCGAACAAGUUGUAGUAGUGUAAAUCAACUACGACAUUUGAAAGACCAAUACCAGCUUGAAACAGUUCGAUUGGGUCUGCAUUUCCGAUUCUUUGGCAGAGAAUAACAUAUGCAGUUGUUGAAUGGUUUCUCACAAUUUGGUAACCCCUCGUAUAGUAGGACACUAGAACAUCUAAAGGAACGGUAGCUGCAGAAGGUUCGUUCAGAAGCUCAAUGCCCAAAAGGGAAGGGUGGCCUCCAUACCUGCAAAACCCAAGGUCAAGAAAGCCACCUAUAAUAUUUCAAGGACCGUCUGGGUAUCCAAGGACAUCAGAAAAACUAGCAGGUAGCAGCAAAUGCAUUUCCGAUGCUCCAUGAGAGGAGAGCAAUUAGCUGGCAUAGCUGACAUAUUUUGAUGGUAGAGAACCAGCUCAGGAAAAAUGCAGAUAAUACCAUAUCAAAGAUGACAUGCUAGAAGAAAGAAUACCUUGUCGCCAGGAAAUCAAUAACUUCUAAUGUUUGCGAGACAUAUUCAGGUGAGGGCCAGUCUACGGAACCAUCCCUGCUCGCACUGUGUUCCAUUCCAUUUUGAGAACCAGGAGCAGCAUGGAGAUCGAUUAUACAUUUCAAACCAUAAGAUCUAAUCCAACAAAAGAAAUUUCAUGUUACUAACUUAAAUGAACACUUAAUACUAUAGAAUUAGAAAGGAUUAGGGAUAUCAAAUACUACAAAGAACAGUUUGAAAAUAUGACAUACUGUGCCCAUGAAAAUGCUAGGUCCAGAGCUGCCAAAGACCCUCCUACAAAUGGAGAUGGUGGAAAUGGAUCUUGUGUUAUCCACCAUCCGACAGGAAUUCUCACAGUGUUAAUUCCAUGUCGAGAUAGGAAAUCAAAGUCGCUUGCUGUUAUGAAACUUGUCCUGUGCUCCUUAACAAGCAAAAUUAAGAGUCAACGGGUGUUGUGCAUAAGAGAAAAAUGGAUUGGUUCAGCAAAUUUUCAAAAGAAAAAUGAGCGUCCUUAGACAUACUUCUAAGACCAUCUUCGCCCUCUCAUAACCAUAACCGUUCGCAAGCUGGUAGUCUCCAUGCAAGUUAUUGGCAACAAUCACCAAUUGAAAUGUCGCUAAAUUAUUAUCCCAUCCUGGUUGGAAUUGAUUAGUGGAAAUAAGCAGAUGAUCGUUUGUUGCCUAAGUUAAAAGGAGAUUGCAAUGUCUUAUUAAUGGCAUGACUUGCAAGAAGGCGACUGAGGGACAAUCACAUAUAACACUUCGAAAUUAUCGAAAUGAAACUCUGGAUUGAGCAAUACUUGCACAUAGCCUCCAUUCAGAAGUUUGAUAUGGACACUUUCAUCAUUCCUUUCGAUGUAGAAAGUCUCAGUGGACAAUGGUUCCCUUGCUGUUGCCAAGAUCAAACCAUCUUCACUGUUUGAUGUCAAAAAUUCACCUCCAAGAGAUCGAAGCUGAAAUUCAUUUUCUGACACCCUCCAAAGCUAUUUUAUAAAGAUAAAAAACAGUAAGGUAGCACUUAAGCUCAACAAGUACUAAAGGAACAUGUAAAUAACAGCAUUGUAACAAUCCAAUGAGUUGCAGUUGCUUCAAUACCAACCAUAAAAGUAAUAGAUAAUCAAAUGAUAAUAAACAUGUGAUUCUGACGUUUAGGUAGAAAAGAGUAUUAAGACAUAUGCUCUAGAUGUCCCAAGCUUGUUCGUAACAAUCUAACAAUCUGUCACCUUAUACUAUUCAGUGGUCCGUUACUUUGCUUUUGGUCAAAUGAUCAGUGUCAUGUGAUAUCCUAUUGUGAAACCACAGUGGCCAUCAAUUUAAUUAUAACAAGAACUCAAGAAAGAGUUCAUUAACUGGGCAAAACAAGUCAAAAAAUAUAUCAUAUAGCUGAAAAAUUGUACCCAGUGGUAGAACGUGGAGUGAAAUUAAUACAUUUAACUAAUACUUAAGUAGUAUGAAACAAUACUUUUCAUGAGGGUAAACCCUAUUGUAAAG